rnacentral:rRNA from 1 species
UACGGAGGAUGCGAGCGUUAUCCGGAUUUAUUGGGUUUAAAGGGUGCGUAGGCGGGCUUUUAAGUCAGCGGUAAAAAUUCGGGGCUCAACCCCGUCCGCCCGUUGAAACUGGGGGUCUUGAGUGGGCGAGAAGAAGGCGGAAUGCGUGGUGUAGCGGUGAAAUGCAUAGAUAUCACGCAGAACCCCGAUUGCGAAGGCAGCCUUCCGGCGCCCUACUGACGCUGAGGCACGAAAGCGUGGGGAGCAAACAGG